AGAUGGGGUCUGUCUCUGUCACCCAGGCUAGAGUGCAGUGGGAAUCAUAGCUCACUGAAGCCUCAAAUUCCUGGGCUCAAGUGAUCCUCCCACCUCAGCUUCCUGAGUAACUACGACUAUAGGUUUGCACCACCAUAUUUGGCUAAUUUAUUUAACUUUUUUGUAGAGACAGGGUUUCCUAUGCUGCCCAGGCUGGUCUCAAACUCCUGGCCUCAAGCAAUCCUCCCACCGGCUUCCUAAAGCACUAGGAUUACAGGUGUGAGCCACCACACCUGGCUUUUUCAACUUUGGAUAGUAUUUCUUGAUUCCUUAUGCUGUAUGUCAGUAAUGUUUGGAUUGCUACCAGUUCUACUGUUCACUUUUUGACAAUGUUGCUUUCCACAUUGCCAAAGCCCUGAACCCAUAACCUGUAUUUGUGCUUUGCCCCAAAGUUGACCAUCUUAUUCGUAUAUGAUUCUUAAAGUUGAAAAUCCAUAAGGCCGGGCGCAGUGGCUCAUGCCUGUAAUCCCAGCACUUUGGGAGGCCGAGGCGGGCGGAUCACGAGGUCAGGAGAUGGAGAUCAUCCUGGCUAACACCGUGAAACCCCGUCUCUACUAAAAAAUACAAAAAAAAAAAAAAAAAAAAAAAUUAGCCGGGCGUGGCAGCGGGCGCCUGUAGUCCUACUCAGGAGGCUGAGGCAGGAGAAUGGUGUGAACCCCGGAGGCGGAGCUUGCAGUGAGCCGAGAUCGCGCCACUGCACUCCAGCCUGGGCAACAGAGCCAGACUCCAUCUCAAAAAAAAAAAAAAAAAAGAAAAUCCAUAGGCAACAUUUACAUGACUACAAUUCUGUGAAAUGAUUCAUUGCCUUGUGUGUCAGGAUUGGAUUUUAGACUUGCACUGUGGGUCUGGUUUUAGGAUUCCUGGGCCAAUCAAAGGAUGAGAUAUCUAGCCCCAAAGUCAAAUGGGAUUUUUUGUUUUCUCACUCUUCAUCAGUUGUUUAAAUUUGUGUUACCUUUUAGUUUUUUCAUAUUUGGACCAUGACUUUCUUAAAUUUUUUCCCUAGUAUUUCUGAUUGCCUUUUAAUGUGUUCAUGCAUUAUUUGCCAUUAUUAUGAUCUCAAAAGUUUUCUAGGCUCUCAAUCUUGUCUAACCUAUCGAGUCUUCUUUGUCUAAGCUGUAUGCCGAGAUUCCUUUCUCGUUCUGUGCCGUUCUGAACUGGUUAUUCACUAAGCCCACUACAGAGCUGUCAUCCUGGAACUUCUUUCCAUGGCUGGAAGUGCUGUUUCCUUUUCCCGUGUCUUCCUAUUUUUUUGGUUUAUCCCUCAUUUUGCUGCAGUACAUGCUUGAGUAACUUCUUAAGAAGUGGUUUGUAGGAGGUAAGUUUUUCAAGUCCUUUUUUAUCUGAACGUAUUUACUUAAAAAUUGUUCUGACUCUGGCUUGUUUUUUCUGUUUAUCUUUGAAUGACAGUAUAAUGUAGCUGUUUUCAUAAGGGCCCUUUGUCAUUCAAAAAAUACUGUCUGCUAACUCAGUUGUCUGUAAUGUGAAGAGAGUGAUACCUGUUGCAUUGUGGUUUGAAAGAUGAGCAUAUUUAAAGCAUCUGGCGCACAGGAGAUGUUCAGUACAAGUUAGUUCUUGCUUUCUCUUCUCUCUCUCCCAACACACAUAGCCUAUUUACCCAGCCAAAAUCAGAAGCAGAAACCUUGGCAAUAGGGGUCAGGUGAUUUUUGACUCUGGAUUACAGCUGUAGCUUUGAGGGACAACCUGGAUCUGGAGUUGAAAGUCAGUUUUAAGUUUAAAAUAAGGAGUUAGAGUCAACUUUCCUGGUUAAGAGAAACCUAAAUAGGAAUGCUCACUGUAAGUGCCCUUUUGCUUCAGCAUUUUGGGCAGAGGAUACCCAACUCCAUCUGAGAAGUGUCUAGUUUUUAUUGUUUGGAAUCUAGAUUGUCACUACAAAUUGAGCUGUUUUUGUGUGUGGGAUAGGGGAGGAAGAGGAAAUGGAGAAGGGGGAGAUGAGCAGGAAAGGUAAUUGACAUUUGUUGAUUACCUGCUGUAUGCCAGACAAGGCAGAGAGUGAGAGUCAGCACAUCCCAGAGAGAUAGCAACAGAAUUAUAUGCAUAUGGAACUUUUUCAUAACCCUAGAUGCUUUUACGUAUAUUAUUUCUUUUAACCCUCACAGUGAUCCCAUGAACAGGUAUAUAUUAUUACCUCAUUUUACUGUUAAGUAAACUGAGGCUCAGUGAGGUUAAAUAAAUGUCCUGGGGUCAUAUAACAGGUGAGUGGCAGAGAUGGGAUUAGAACUCUGUGAUUCCAAAACCUGUGUUCCUGUCCUUAUGCCAUGCUGUCUCAUGCCAAUUGUGUGGCCCAUAAUUAGGUCUUGUAAUUAUGUAUCCUUGAUGAUCGCAUAACUGUGGUGGUGGAGUGGUGGAUGGAUUUUUAGAGUUUGCUUCUGAACUGAGUCUGGGUUAUGCUAUUUGGAACUGUCAUUGAUGGUGAGAUAGAGAUGAUGGAAGAAAACCCAAAUAUACCAGAAAUGGGUAGUACACCUCCAUUGUCUAUUUAUAUUUUAUUCUCAUCAAGAUUUCCACCAAGGUGACUCACACCACUAAUCUUAUCACUUUGGGGGGCCGAGGUGGGAGGAUUGCUUGAGGCCAAGAGUUUGAGACAAGCCUGGGCAACAUAGCGAGAUUCUGUCUCUACAGAAUUUUUUUUUUUUUUUUUUUUUGAGAUAGCGUUUCACUCUUGUCGCCUAGGCUGGAGUGCAAUGGCGCCAUCUCAGCUCACGGCAGCCUCCUGCUCCCAGGAGAAUCGCUUGAAUCCGGGAGGCAGAGGUUGCAGUGAGCCGAGAUCAUGCCAUUGCACUCCAGACUGGGCAACAAGAGCAAAACUCUGCCUCAAAAAAAUAAAAA
rnacentral:lncRNA from 1 species